UGCAGAGGGGGCAAGCGUUGUUCGGAAUUACUGGGCGUAAAGGGCGCGUAGGCGGCCUACUAAGUCGAACGUGAAAUCCCCGGGCUUAACCCGGGAACUGCGUCCGAUACUGGUUGGGCUUGAAUCCGGGAGAGGGAUGUGGAAUUCCAGGUGUAGCGGUGAAAUGCGUAGAUAUCUGGAGGAACACCGGUGGCGAAGGCGGCAUCCUGGACCGGUAUUGACGCUGAGGCGCGAAAGCCAGGGGAGCAAACGGG
rnacentral:rRNA from 1 species